rnacentral:rRNA from 1 species
UGGGGAAUAUUGCGCAAUGGGCGAAAAGCCUGACGCAGCGACGCCGCGUGAGGGAUGAAGGUCUUCGGAUUGUAAACUCCUGUCCCAGGGGACGAUAAUGACGGUACCCUGGGAGGAAGCCCCGGCUAAGCUACGUGCCAGCAGCCGCGGGUAAUACGUAGGGGCGAAGCGUUAUCCGGAAUUACUGGGUGUAAAGGGAGCGUAGACGGUGAUGUAAGUCUGGAGUGAAAGGCGGGGCCGCAACCCCGCCGACUGCUGACUGAACUAUAUGACUGGAGUGCAGGGAGAGGUAAGCGGAAUUCCUAGUGUAGCGGUGAAAUGCGUAGAUAUUAGGAGGAACACCAGUGGCGAAGGCGGCUUACUGGACUGUAACUGACGUUGAGGCUCGAAAGCGUGGGUAGCAAACAGGAUUAGAUACC